rnacentral:rRNA from 1 species
AAUGAACGUUGGCGGCGUGGAUUAGGCAUGCAAGUCGAGCGAGAACCCGCAAGGGGGACAGCGGCAAACGGGGUAGUAACGGGUAGGCAACGUACCCUCGGGUCGGGGAUAGCCACGGGAAACUGUGGGUAAUACCCGAUAAUCUCUGCGGUGGUAAGUACUGCAGAGCAAAGGUGUGAUUCCACCGGAGGAGCGGCCUGCGUCGUAUUAGCUUGUUGGUGAGGUAACGGCUCACCAAGGCGACGAUGCGUAGGGGGUGUGAGAGCAUGACCCCCACCACUGGGACUGGGAUACUGCCCAGACACCUACGGGUGGCUGCAGUCGAGAAUCUUCGGCAAUGGGCGCAAGCCUGACUGAGCGACGCCGCGUGUGGGAUGAAGGCCCUUGGGUUGUAAACCACUGUCAGAGGGGAUGAAAUGCGGGAGAGCUAUCUCUUCCGUUUGACAUAGCCUCAGAGGAAGCACGGGCUAAGUUCGUGCCAGCCGCCGCCGUAAUAC